GCGCCCGUAGCUCAGGGGAUAGAGCACCGGCCUUCUAAGCCGGGGGUCGCUGGUUCGAAACCAGCCGGGCGCGCCA
rnacentral:tRNA from 1 species